rnacentral:rRNA from 1 species
AAAGAUUAAGCCAUGCAUGUCUAAGUAUAAGCAAUUUAUACAGUGAAACUGCGAAUGGCUCAUUAAAUCAGUUAUCGUUUAUUUGAUAGUACCUUACUACUUGGAUAACCGUGGUAAUUCUAGAGCUAAUACAUGCUUAAAAUCCCGACUGUUUGGAAGGGAUGUAUUUAUUAGAUAAAAAAUCAAUGUCUUCGGACUCUUUGAUGAUUCAUAAUAACUUUUCGAAUCGCAUGGCCUUGUGCUGGCGAUGGUUCAUUCAAAUUUCUGCCCUAUCAACUUUCGAUGGUAGGAUAGUGGCCUACCAUGGUUUCAACGGGUAACGGGGAAUAAGGGUUCGAUUCCGGAGAGGGAGCCUGAGAAACGGCUACCACAUCCAAGGAAGGCAGCAGGCGCGCAAAUUACCCCAUCCCGACACGGGGAGGUAGUGACAAUAAAUAACGAUACAGGGCCCUUUCGGGUCUUGUAAUUGGAAUGAGUACAAUGUAAAUACCUUAACGAGGAACAAUUGGAGGGCAAGUCUGGUGCCAGCAGCCGCGGUAAUUCCAGCUCCAAAAGCGUAUAUUAAAGUUGUUGCAGUUAAAAAGCUCGUAGUUGAACCUUGGGCUUGGUUGGCCGGUCCAUCUUUCUGAUGCGUACUGGACCCAACCGAGCCUUUCCUUCUGGCUAGCCUUUUGGCGAACCAGGACUUUUACUUUGAA